GCAGACACAUUCCAGCCAAUCAGCAGCAGACCCUCCCUCCCAGACCCUCCCACCUCCUGGACAGCAUCCAUUUUGAAGCUGCAUUCUUAGUGAGCUGUCCAGGAGGUGGGAGGGUGUAGGAGGGAGGGUCUGCUGCUGAUUGGCUGGAAUGUGUCUG